GACGAACGCUGGCGGCGUGCUUAACACAUGCAAGUCGAACGAUGAACCCGGAGCUUGCUCCGGUGGAUUAGUGGCGAACGGGUGAGUAACACGUGAGUAACCUGCCCUUGACUCUGGGAUAACUGCGGGAAACUGUAGCUAAUACCGGAUACGACCCUCGGCGGCAUCGCCAGGGGGUGGAAAGAAUUUCGGUCAAGGAUGGACUCGCGGCCUAUCAGCUAGUUGGUGAGGUGACGGCUCAACCAGGCGACGACGGGGAGGCGGCCUGAGAGGGUGACCGGCCACACUGGGACUGAGACACGGCCCAGGCUCCUGCGGGAGGCAGCAGUGGGGAAUAUUGCACAAGGGGCGCAAGGCUGAUGCAGCAACGCCGCUUGGGGGAUGACGGCCUUCGGGUUGUAAACCUCUUUUAGCAGGGAAGAAGCGAAAGUGACGGUACCUGCAGAAAAAGCACCGGCUAACUACGUGCCAGCCGCCGCAGUAA
rnacentral:rRNA from 1 species